GAUGAACGCUGGCGGCGUGCUUAAUACAUGCAAGUCGAGCGAACAGACGAGGGGUUUGAUCCUCACUCGUUAGCGGCGGACGGGUGAGACACACGUGUAUAAUCCCCUUAUCUGACUGGGAUAACUUCGGGACACCGGCGCUAAUCCCGGAUAAUAUCUUGAACCGUAUGGUUCUAUAGUGAAUGUCGGUUUUGCUGUCACUUAUCGAUGGAUCCGCGCCGCAGUAGGUAGUUGGUAAGGUAACGGCUUACCAAGGCAACGAUGCGUAGCCGGCCGUAGAGGGGGAGCGGCCACGCGGGAGCGUACAGACACACCAGGCUCCUGCGAGAGGCAGCAGUAGUAAAGCUGGCAGAAGGGGGGAAUACCUGACAGAGCGACGCCGCGUGAUGGAGCAAGGUCGUCUGAGCGUAAAACGCUGUUAUGUUGUAAGAACAUAUGUGUAAGGAACUAUGCACUUCGUGACGGUACCUAGUCAGGAAGCCACGGCUAACUACGUG
rnacentral:rRNA from 1 species